CGGCCCCGCCGCCCCCCCCCCUUCCCCCCCGCGGCGGCGCAAGCGGGGCCGGCGCGUGGCGGCAGCGGCCGUGCCGCGGAGGGGAGGGGGGGGGCGCCCCGCGCAUGGAGGCGAUGCCGUGCCACAGCCAGCGGCUCGGCCCGCGCCCGCACGACGAGCCGGUGGCCACGGCGGGCGGCGGCACCCGGCUCAUCCGCUUCGCGGAGCCCGGCGAGGACAGCGGCUGCCCCAGCCCGGACAACAGCAGCAGCAGUAGCAGCAGCAACGGCGUGGCGGCGGCGAUCCCUGCCGCGGAGGGCGGCGCGGCGCCGCUCGGCCCGCAGCUGAAGCUGCUGCCCAUGAACGACCAGCUGCGGGAGCUGCAGACCAUCAUCAGGGACAAGAAAUCCAGUAGAGGAGACUUCGUGUUUUCUGCUGAUCGUCUGAUCAGACUUGUGGUUGAAGAGGGACUGAAUCAACUGCCUUACACAGAAUGCACCGUGACCACUCCAACAGGACACAAGUAUGAAGGAGUCAGAUUUGAAAAGGGAAACUGUGGAGUCAGCAUCAUGAGAAGUGGAGAGGCAAUGGAACAAGGAUUACGAGACUGCUGCAGAUCGAUCCGCAUUGGGAAGAUCCUGAUACAGAGCGACGAGGAGACGCAGAGAGCCAAAGUGUACUACGCCAAGUUCCCACCAGACAUCUACAGGAGAAAGGUCCUGCUCAUGUACCCAAUACUGAAUGAGCUUUCUUGCCUCGGGCCUUUAAUAAAAUCCACUGGCUUCAGUGCUCAAACCCAGCAGAGCUGUUUCAGAGUGGAGAUGAAGUUCCUCCUUCAGGAGACCAAAGUCUCCUACAGUUAAUAUCUGCAGAGGUGGUAGUUUUGCAGCGGGCAAGGAUGGUGGUGUCAUUCAGUCACAACCCAAUGCACUGGCAAUACUGUCAUUGAGGCUGUCAAAGUGCUUGUAGAACAUGGCGUGCAACCAAGUGUCAUUAUCCUGCUCAGCCUGUUCUCCACACCUCAUGGUGCCAAAUCCAUCAUCCAGGAAUUCCCAGAGAUCACCAUUCUCACGACAGAAGUUCAUCCCGUUGCACCAACACACUUUGGACAGAAGUAUUUUGGAACAGACUGACCCACUCGGACACACGGAUGUGACUCUAUGAUGUUACAAGAGGGUUUUUUCUACGUUUUAUUAUUGAGUGAGGGUAUGUUUAAAAAUGUUUUUGGCCAAAGGGGGAAAUACUUGACUUAGGUUAGUUCUGGUUCACUGCCUGAACACAGAGUCGGGUUCAGUAACAAAGCACUCUGUCGUGACAAAGUCAAGCAUCUCAACACUGGGGUUGUAUAAAGUGCUACACUGUCUGCUUUAACUUAUUUAUUCUAUAGCCUGUCUUGUGGCUGCUUGCACAAGCAAAAUAAACCAAGUAAAUCAGG